rnacentral:rRNA from 1 species
UUGGAGGGCAAGUCUGGUGCCAGCAGCCGCGGUAAUUCCAGCUCCAAUAGCGUAUAUUAAAGUUGUUGCAGUUAAAAAGCUCGUAGUUGAAUUUCGGGAUUAGUACGUCGGUCGUGCCUUAGGUACGUACUGGUGUUACUGGUUCCUACCUUCUGACGAACCAUCAUGUCAUUAAUCUGGUGUGGUGGGGAAUCAGGACUGUUACUUUGAAAAAAUUAGAGUGUUUAAAGCAGGCUCGCGCUUGAAUACAUUAGCACUGGAAUAAUGAAAUAGG